rnacentral:rRNA from 1 species
CCUACGGGGAGCAGCAGUGAGGAAUAUUGGUCAAUGGGCGGAAGCCUGAACCAGCCAAGUAGCGUGCGGGAUGAAGGCCCUACGGGUCGUAAACCGCUUUUGCACGGGGAUAACACCCUCCACUUGUGGAGGUCUGCAGGUACCGUGCGAAUAAGGGCCGGCUAAUUCCGUGCCAGCAGCCGCGGUAAUACGGAAGGCCCGAGCGUUAUCCGGAUUCAUUGGGCUUAAAGGGAGCGUAGGCGGGCGUUCAAGUCAGCUGUAAAAUCGCGCGGCUCAACCGCGCCCCGCAGUUGAAACUGGACGCAUUGAGUUCACAACAGGCAGGCGGAAUUCGUGGUGUAGCGGUGAAAUGCAUAGAUAUCACGAGGAACCCCGAUUGCGAAGGCAGCCUGCCGGGGUGCGACUGACGCUGAGGCUCGAAGGUGUGGGUAUCAAACAGGAUUAGAUACCCCUGUAGUC